GUGGGGAAUCUUGCGCAAUGGGCGAAAGCCUGACGCAGCCAUGCCGCGUGAAUGAUGAAGGUCUUAGGAUUGUAAAAUUCUUUCACCGGGGACGAUAAUGACGGUACCCGGAGAAGAAGCUCCGGCUAACUUCGUGCCAGCAGCCGCGGUAAUACGAAGGGGGCUAGCGUUGCUCGGAAUUACUGGGCGUAAAGGGCGCGUAGGCGGACAGCUUAGUCAGAGGUGAAAGCCCAGGGCUCAACCUUGGAAUUGCCUUUGAUACUGGCUGUCUUGAGUAUGAGAGAGGUGUGUGGAACUCCGAGUGUAGAGGUGAAAUUCGUAGAUAUUCGGAAGAACACCAGUGGCGAAGGCGACACACUGGCUCAUUACUGACGCUGAGGCGCGAAAGCGUGGGGAGCAAACAGGAUUAGAUACCCCGGUAGUCC
rnacentral:rRNA from 1 species